AUGCCCGCAACAACUAUGUAUCUCUGCUCAUGGAAUGUUAGGGGCCUAGGUGAUGCGGACAAAUGCAAUGAUGUACUAUCUGAACUCUUAUCUAUCAAACCUAAUCUGCUGCUACUCCAGGAAACUAAGCUUGCCACGUCCUCUGUCCCAAAAGUCAGGUCCUUCCUGCCAACCUCCCUCGACUACUAUGCCACUUCACCUGCCACGGGCACCACUGGGGGCUUGCUCUCUGCUGCCAACACCAGCUCCCUUCGCAUCACAAACCACAUGAAUCAUGGUUUCUGCUCUACUCUCACCUUCACAUCUCUCGCACUCCCUUCCCCCAUCUGUGUUACUAACAUUUACGGCCCCACCAAAAGAGCGGAAAAACCUCUCUUCCUCGCUGAGUUAAAAGCCAUAGCUCCUCCUGAGAACACACCGUGGCUAGUUGUAGGCGAUUUCAACCUGAUCCGCUUCCCCCACGAGAAAAAUAAUGACAACUUUCACCAACGAGAAUCCCGCAUUUUCAGUGACACGCUUGAUGAGCUAGCUCUCCUCGAGCUGCCUCUACUAGAUUGGCAGUUUACUUGGUCCAACAACAGAGAAGCCCCUGUCCUAGAACGGCUCGACCGCGCCUUAUUUAAUUUAGCCUGGAAUCAUGCCUUCCCCACACCUUGUUAA
rnacentral:rRNA from 1 species